GUUUAUUGCCAUGCUACCCUGAACAAGCCCAAUUCUCUCAGAUUUCAGAAGCUAUGCAGGGUCAGGCCUGCUUAGUACUUCGAUGGGAGACCACCUAGGAAGACCAGGUGCUGUAGGCG
rnacentral:rRNA from 1 species